rnacentral:tRNA from 1 species
UCUAUUAAAGGAUAAUA